GCCAGCGUAGCAUAGUGGUUUGAUUGCUGGCCUACAACUCUGGAGACCGGGGUUUGAUUCCCAGCUUGGCC